rnacentral:rRNA from 1 species
AUUGAACGCUGGCGGUAUGCUUAAGACAUGCAAGUCGAACGGUAACAGACCUUCGGGUGCUGACGAGUGGCGGACGGGUGAGUAACACGUGGGAAUCUACCUUGUAGUGGGGGAUAAGCCAGGGAAACUUGGACUAAUACCGCAUACGCCCUAAGGGGGAAAGGAGCAAUUCGCUAUAAGAUGAGCCCGCGUCUGAUUAGCUAGUUGGUGAGGUAAAGGCUCACCAAGGCGACGAUCAGUAGCUGGUCUGAGAGGAUGACCAGCCACAUUGGGACUGAGACACGGCCCAGACUCCUACGGGAGGCAGCAGUCGGGAAUAUUGGACAAUGGGGGCAACCCUGAUCCAGCAAUACCGCGUGUGUGAAGAAGGCCUGCGGGUUGUAAAGCACUUUUAG